rnacentral:rRNA from 1 species
AGAGUUUGAUCCUGGCUCAGGAUGAACGCUAGCGAUAGGCCUAACACAUGCAAGUCGAGGGGUAACAGGGUAGCAAUACCGCUGACGACCGGCAAAUGGGUGAGUAACGCGUAUGCAACCUACCGAUAACAGUUGGAUAGCUCCCUGAAAGGGGAAUUAAACCGGCAUGAUACUAUUUAAUCGCCUGUUUAGAUAGUUAAAUAUUUAUAGGUUAUCGAUGGGCAUGCGUGACAUUAGCAAGUUGGUGAGGUAACGGCUCACCAAUGCUACGAUGUCUAGGGGUUCUAAGAGGAAGGUCCCCCACACUGGUACUGAGACACGGACCAGACUCCUACGGGAGGCAGCAGUGAGGAAUAUUGGUCAAUGGACGGAAGUCUGAACCAGCCACUUCGCGUGCAGGAUGACUGCCCUAUGGGUUGUAAACUGCUUUUAUACGGGAGCAAUAAGGGUUACGAGUAAUCCGAUGAGAGUACUGUAUGAAUAAGGAUCGGCUAACUCCGUGCCAGCAGCCGCGGUAAUACGGAGGAUCCGAGCGUUAUCCGGAAUUAUUGGGUUUAAAGGGUGCGUAGGCGGCCAUUUAAGUCAGCGGUGAAAUUUUGCAGCUUAACUGUAACAGUGCCGUUGAUACUGUUUGGCUAGGAUUUGGUUGUAGUGUGCGGAAUGUGUGGUGUAGCGGUGAAAUGCUUAGAUAUCACACAGAACACCGAUUGCGCAGGCAGCACACUAAGUCAUUAUUGACGCUGAGGCACGAAAGUGUGGGGAUCAAACAGGAUUAGAUACCCUGGUAGUCCACACUGUAAACGAUGAUAACUCGCUGUCGGCGAUACACAGUCGGUGGCCAAGCGAAAGCAUUAAGUUAUCCACCUGGGGAGUACGACCGCAAGGUUGAAACUCAAAGGAAUUGACGGGGGCCCGCACAAGCGGAGGAACAUGUGGUUUAAUUCGAUGAUACGCGAGGAACCUUACCCGGGCUCGAACGGUGCAUGAAUAUACGAGAGAUUGUAUAGUCCUUCGGGACAUGUAUCGAGGUGCUGCAUGGUUGUCGUCAGCUCGUGCCGUGAGGUGUCGGCUUAAGUGCCAUAACGGGCGCAACCCCUACUGCUAGUUGCCAGCGCGUCAAGGCGGGGACUCUAGCGGAACUGCCGGCGUAAGCCGUGAGGAAGGUGGGGAUGACGUCAAAUCAGCACGGCCCUUAUGUCCAGGGCUACACACGUGUUACAAUGGCCGGUACAGAGGGCAGCUACUCAGCGAUGAGAUGCUAAUCUUCAAAACCGAUCUCAGUUCGGAUCGGAGUCUGCAACUCGACUCCGUGAAGCUGGAUUCGCUAGUAAUCGCAUAUCAGCCAUGAUGCGGUGAAUACGUUCCCGGGCCUUGCACACACCGCCCGUCA